UGGGGAAUUUUGGACAAUGGGCGCAAGCCUGAUCCAGCCAUGCCGCGUGCGGGAAGAAGGCCUUCGGGUUGUAAACCGCUUUUGUCAGGGAAGAAAUCUUCUGGGUUAAUACCUCGGGAGGAUGACGGUACCUGAAGAAUAAGCACCGGCUAACUACGUGCCAGCAGCCGCGGUAAUGCGUAGGGUGCAAGCGUUAAUCGGAAUUACUGGGCGUAAAGCGUGCGCAGGCGGUUAUGCAAGACAGAUGUGAAAUCCCCGGGCUCAACCUGGGAACUGCAUUUGUGACUGCAUGGCUAGAGUGCGGCAGAGGGGGAUGGAAUUCCGCGUGUAGCAGUGAAAUGCGUAGAUAUGCGGAGGAACACCGAUGGCGAAGGCAAUCCCCUGGGCCUGCACUGACGCUCAUGCACGAAAGCGUGGGGAGCAAACAGGAUUAGAUACCCUGGUAGCCCACGCCCUAAACGAUGUCAACUGGUUGUUGGGAAGGUUCCUUCUCAGUAACGUAGCUAACGCGUGAAGUUGACCGCCUGGGGAGUACGGCCGCAAGGUUG
rnacentral:rRNA from 1 species